UGUUUUUCCAUCUUUUCCAGGCAAAUCAGUUGUUGAUGUUGAUUAACUUUUUUACCUAAAAUCAGCUAAGCAAAUCACUAUUUCUGGAAGGUGUUGAUUUAUUUUCCUUUUUCCCGUUUCUACAGUUAAGGUCCUCUGUUAUUUGAUAGCAUGUCAUUUUUACUUAUGCUGUUGCAAGAAUCAGGCAGAGUCGAGAUUGAAGAAGAAACUCAUGCAUGCGAUGUGCGUGUGAUCUAGAACUUAUUGUUUUGGACAAUAUAAUUUGGAGCUAGCAUCCAUUUGAAGUGUCAACAGUCCUUAGAAGUUGUUUAUAACAAUUUGAUGAACUGGAGGAUCUACUCGAGUGAUGAA